rnacentral:lncRNA from 1 species
UCUAGGAUAGCCCUGGGAGAUAAUUCUUCAUGAAUAUUUUUAUACUUCUGCACAGUCUGGGGCUUUCUGAGCAAAGAACACUGGCAAACUUGGUUAAAGGAUGAUUAAAUAGCAAAUAUUCCUUAGAAGCUAGAGAUAGCGUAUUGCUCCAGAGAGAUUUAGAGACUUAUUUCUCAUGGAGUCAUGUGCUUUCAUUGCUGGUAGUAAUAACCUAGGGGCCUUCCCUCAGAUUCCCAGAGAGGAUUUGUUCACAUUCCAGAGCAAAAGUCUCUCUCUCUCUCUGUCUUUCCUUUCAGAAGGGAGGAGGGGCAGAUGUGCCAGCCGUCCUACGUAAGCUCAGAAUUUCAGGGAUCUUCUGCUGUGGUGCAGUCUUGCUGAAGGCACAGAUUACUUCUUUCUGGCUUUCAUUAUGUCACCUCAUGGGGACCAAGGCGGAGGGAACUAGCGCUAAGAUGCUAGGUGUACGUAUUCUUUGGAUCACAUCUCCCAAAAAACCAUGAGACUUUCAAGGUGACAUGUGCCUUCUUUGCACUGAAACCCAGAAUAUUGAGUGUGAUGCUAUUAACCAAAGCCCCUGGACUGAAGAAAGUGUUCUCUUGUGCACAGUGCACGGAAAUGGCAAGGAGUGGAUUGGAGGAGCUGUUCCCCGCAUCUUUCAAAGGCCUGAGUAGAAGAAGAAGGUGGAGGAAGGGCAAAUUCACUCUCUGCCUGAGCUGAGACAUCUGUCUUCUCCUGCCCUGGGACAUUGGCACUCUCGGUUCUUGGGCUUUCCGACAGACUAGAAGUUAUACCAUCAGCCCUGAUUCUCAGACCUUCAGAUUUUGACUGAAAUCACCAUGAGCUUUCCUGGUUCUUCAGCUUGCAGAUUUCAGAUCAUGGGACUUCGUGGCCUCCAUAACCACGGUUAAGGCACCAUUGUGCUGAGAGCACAACUCACCACUGUCGCCUGCCCUCAGCCUCUCCCAACAGAAACAGCAUGGAAGUGGAAGAGUUUGAAAAAGAACAAGGUGCUACAAACAAGUCAGGAAUUUGUUCUGCAGGCCUGUCAAGUCUAUAAAUAUCUAGAAUCCUGCUUACCAAGUAUUGGUGUGAGGGUUGAUGAUGAAACCGAUGCUCACAGAGUUGAAAUAAGCUGCUGAAGGUCAUGCAGUGACAAUGGGAAGAAGGAAAUAACCUGAGAGAGUGCACACCAAUCAUUUCAACGGCAAAAUCCAAAAGUGGCACACAUCGUUUCAGAUCCCAUCCCAUUGGUUGGGACAUAGUCACUGGUUUCACAUAGCUGCAAGAAAGGAUGGAAAAUGAAGUCGUUACCUGGACAGCUGAGCUAUGUGCUCAGCUAAAACUGAGAAAAGGGAUUUGGGGGCACAAUUAGCAAUCUGCCACAGCCUCCAAUGAAGGUCUUGGAAUCCAGAAGGUUGGCAAUCCAGAAGAGCAUUGUACAGCUGCCCCUUCAUUCUAUAAUUCCUGUCUCACUCAACUUUGAGCCUUUGAGAUGUCAGCAUUGGAAACGUUAGAGUCAGAUAGUGAAAGCUUUGCUAAUUUGACAAGGAAUGAAGGUUCAUUAAACUUCUAAAUGUGGCAUUUUUAUAGGUUAUGGCCAAACUGAAGUUGGCCAAGCGUGAAUAUCAUUAGCUGCAGUUUUGUUUGUACUCCAUAGUAUGUUGUUCCUCUCUCUCUCUCUCUCCCUCCCUCUCCUUAUCUACAUUUUCUUUCUGUUUUUGGGACUCUCCUUUUUGCAUCGAUAGGUACUCAAGAAAAAAAUUCAGGGUUUCAGUUGGAAAAAACAAGUUUUAAAGUAGAAUUUUCAACAAGACGCCUAAUGAACGGUGGUCUAUUCGCACAGCUGAACACCCUACUCACAAAUCUCUUUCUCUUAUAGAUUUGUGAGGAACAGGAGGUUAUAUUCUCUGCAUGGGAUUUUGCUUCUGGGCUAGGGUUGACUGCAAGUUUAUUGGAAUGAGCACUACGUUUUGUUUUGUUUUCACCAUAAGGGACUUCUGCAAGGAGCCCCAGUGCUCAUCACGUGCUGUGAGGAAAAUGGAGAGAGUUUGCAGAACAGUUCUCUCCCUUCAUUCAAAAUUAGGUUCAAGCUGAGAACCGCUGGUGAUUUUUCAAGUCCUGUUUUGGAUGAAAUAAGCAGACAUGUUUGAAUUAAUUAAUGUUGUAAGGCGACUCUUAGCACUGAGACUGAGCUAGUGCCUGAUAGAAGGAGCGCUGAGCCAGGAAUCACAAAACCCCUGUCCUAGCCUUGGCAUCGCCACCAACUCCUUGUGGGACCAUGAACAAAUCGCCAACAUUUCUGUGCCUUCGUUCCCCACUUACAUAAAUACAGAGAUAUUUGCACUUCUAGAAGAAGAAUGGUUGUGUCGAUACUCUGGUGUGACUUUGUUAUGAUAACACAGGAAGACUGAGGUGCAGUGGGCCCUUGCGAAUCAUCCUCCCCUCCAUGAACCAGGUGGAAUAGACCAUUCCCUUCUCAGAGACCCCUGGACCCUACAUCCUAGUACCCUAUACUAUAAGUCCUGCAAUAUUUGGUGGCUUAUAUUUUAUUUAUGGGUCUGCUUUCCCAUGGGCUUCUUAAAGAGUGUGCAUUUCUCAUUUGAUCGCUACAGUGCCUACUACUGUGGUUGGCACUUGAUAUUGGAUAAAUGAAUGAAAUAAAGCACACCCAAAGUUAGAUGGCUGGUCAGGGGCUGGUUAGUGGCUGGUUAGGGCUGGGUCAAGUCUGGUUACUCCCAGACCAGUCUUUUGCAUAUUUGACCUCUCCCUACUCUCAAGAAUAAGGGUGAAAUAGGACAUCAAACGUAAGAAGUGCUCACGCUCUGGAGAUUCUGGUGCAGGAGAGGAGUGGUUUCCUCUGCUCAGGCUUGUUCUGCUAUUUCAGCCUCUUGGUCCUUAAUGACGGUUUAUUCUCAUAGCACACUUCUCUCUCUCUUUUACCUCAAGAAUCUCUGCUUGGGAUAGAGGUGGGCAGAGGUUGGGCAGAGGUGCCUCAAGCCAAACCAAGGAGGAAGAUAUUGCACUGGGGCUCAGAGUACUUCAGAGGAGCUUUUGAUGUCGAAAUCCAAAGCGCACGAUAUCUGCUCUCCAGGGUGAGGGCUAACAUCAUCUCUCCAAGAUGAGGCUUGCAGCAGCUGCCCUAAGAAGGCAGAAUGUCUCACACCCUCGGAAUUAGACACUAGACACCAAGAGGCCUAUGGCUGGGGCUGUCUCUCAGGUCUUCACCUGACACUGCUCUGUCUGCUUAAGAAUGGGCUCCAUGGGGGCCGGCCCAUGGCUGAGUGGUUAAAGUUCCUCACACUCUGCUUCUGCAGCCCAGGUUCCCGGGUUCAGAUCCCAGGUGCAGACCUACUCCACUCAUCAGCCAUGCUGUGGAAGCAUCCCACAUACAAAAAGUAGAGGAAGAUUGGUGCAGAUGUUAUCUCAGGGCCAAUCCUCCUCACCAACAAAACAAAAAGAAGAAGAAGAAGAAGAAGAAGAAGAAGAAAAAGAAUGGGGUUCAUGCUCUGGUAGUCAAAAUAAGCACGCAAGACAGGGAAGGACAGAGGCCAGAGCCUCAAGAGGUCCUGAAAGGGGCUGCUUUUAGCACAUGGAGGGGAAUGAGAACCAAAGCCACAGCAACAGGCAUAGGAGGAAGGAAGGCUGCUGUGGGGUCACUGGGAGAAAGGCUUCCUGCCAUUGUCUGGCCACACGGGGUGGGUUGCAAAUAAAAAUAGGUGGAAUUCGAAGACUGCUUGUGUGCAUCUGGAGUCAGCUCCAUGCAGAGAAUCCAUUUGUGCUGUGAUUGGGGGCCGUGCAGAAAUGACUCAGGGCAUUUUAGCCCUGUGCAUAUGGGAUUCGGAGAUCGGCAGAGACCCAAGGAGAGAGAUUGAUAAACUCCAACCACACUCUGAGCCGUCGAAAGAAGAGUUGCUCAGCCUGUGAGUCCUAGCCAGCGAUGUUUGAUAGAACAGAGAACCACGCAAUACAAAACACUAGAGUCUGACACAACACCGAGGGCCAGGCACGGAGGCC